rnacentral:rRNA from 1 species
ACGGAGGGUGCAAGCGUUAUCCGGAUUCACUGGGUUUAAAGGGUGCGUAGGUGGGCUAGUAAGUCCGUGGUGAAAUCCCCGAGCUUAACUUGGGAACUGCCAUUGAUACUAUUAGUCUUGAAUAUCGUGGAGGUAAGCGGAAUAUGUCAUGUAGCGGUGAAAUGCUUAGAUAUGACAUAGAACACCAAUUGCGAAGGCAGCUUGCUACACGGUCAUUGACACUGAGGCACGAAAGCGUGGGGAGCAAACAGGAUUAGAUACCCUGGUAGUCCACGCCCUAAACUAUGGAUACUCGACAUCAGCGAUACACAGUUGGUGUCUGAGCGAAAGCAUUAAGUAUCCCACCUGGGAAGUACGAUCGCAAGAUUG